rnacentral:tRNA from 1 species
CUCAAGCCGAGUUGGUCUAAGGCGCCAGUUUCAGGUACUGGUCUGAAAGGGCAUGGGUUCGGAUCCCAUUCUUGACA